rnacentral:rRNA from 1 species
CCCGGUGUAUGGGCUGAAAUCUUAUGAAAUCCCGUGGAGGACCACCAAGUGGCGUAAGGCUGUCGUGUCUGGAACGCGCCCCGACGGUGAGGGGAUGAAAGCUUGGGGGGAGCGAACCGGAUUGAGAUACCCGGGUAAUCCCAGCUGUAAACGAUGCAGGCUAGGUGUCAGUGCGGCUACGUUGCCGCUCUGGUGCCGCAGGGAAGCUGUUAAGCCUGCCGCCUGGGGAGUACGGCCGCAAGGCUGGAAACUUAAAGGAAUUGGCGGGGGAGCACCACAAGGGGUGAAGCUUGCGGUUUAAUUGGAGUCAACGCCGGAAACCUUACCGGGAGCGACAGCAGAAUGAAGGCCAGACUGAAGGUCUUGCUAGACAAGCUGAGAGGAGGUGCAUGGCCGUCGCCAGUUCGUGCCGUGAGGUGUCCUGUUAAGUCAGGCAACGAUCGAGACCCGCGUCCCCUGUUGCUACCAGCCUUGAGCUGGGCACACUGGGGAGACUGCCGCUGAUAAAGCGGAGGAGGGAGCGGGCCACGGCAGGUCAGUAUGCCCCGAAUCUCCCGGGCCACACGCGAGCUGCAAUGGCAGGUACAAUGGGUUCCGACAUCGUGAGGUGGGGGAAACCUUAAAGCCUGCCGUAGUUGGGAUCGAGGGCUGAAACCCGCUCUCGUGAACAUGGAAUCCCUAGUAAUCGCG